rnacentral:rRNA from 1 species
UACAGAGGCCUCGAGCGUUAGGCGGAAUCACUGGGCUUAAAGCGUGUGUAGGCGGGCCCGUAAGUGUCUUGUGAAAUCCCACGGCUCAACCGUGGAACUGCUGGGCAUACUGCGGGUCUUGGGCCAACUAGGGGCAGCCGGAACAAGCGGUGGAGCGGUGAAAUACGUAGAUAUCGCUUGGAACGCCGAAGGUGAAAACAGGCUGCUGGGGUUGCGCCGACGCUGAGACACGAAAGCCAGGGGAGCAAACGGG